rnacentral:rRNA from 1 species
AUACGGAGGGGGCUAGCGUUGUUCGGAAUUACUGGGCGUAAAGCGCGCGUAGGCGGUUUAUCAAGUUAGGCGUGAAAGGCCUGGGCUCAACCCGGGAAUUGCGCUUAAUACUGGUAGACUUGAGUCCGGGAGAGGGUGGCGGAAUUCCCAGUGUAGAGGUGAAAUUCGUAGAUAUUGGGAAGAACACCAGUGGCGAAGGCGGCCACCUGGCCCGGUACUGACGCUGAGGUGCGAAAGCGUGGGGAGCAAACAGGAUUAGAAACCCCGGUAGUCC